ACACCGUCCGCAGCGUGCACGGGGCGCUGGGCGCACCUGCGGACAGGUACGGCAUCAUGGCCCGCAGCGCCGUGCGCAGCUGGAGCCGCCUCCGGGGGGGGCCCGGGGGGUCCCUGCGGCAGCGGCUGCACCUGGGCUGGGAGCGGCUCAAGUUCGAGCUGGCGCUCAGGCUGGAGUGGCUCCGGUUCCGGGUGGCGGCGGCUGCGCUGCGGCUGCUGAGCCGCUGGGGGGCGCUGCCGCUGGGGGAGCACCUGCAGCACCUGCUCCGGGCCUGAGGGGGCGCCACGCACCCGGGAACGCCACAACCCCACGGAACUACCCCAAAAAACGGCUGAAAUAACCCCAAAAACCGGCUGGAAAUGCUGAAAUAACCCCAAAAACCGGCUGGAAAUGCUGAAAUAAUCCCAAAAAUG